rnacentral:lncRNA from 1 species
UUCCAGGUAUAUCAAGCCGAACAUGAACAAGGGUCGACCCAACUCGCGUUUGGCUUGUUAAGAUUUUAAGUUGAAAAUUUCAGCUGGUAGUCAGCUCGUCGACUCGUUUAUUAAACGAGCCAAUUAGCCUCAAACUUUUUUCAAGCCAAAUACGAACUGGUUUGCAAACACCGAGCUAAAUUACUAGCCCUAACCUCUGCUGUAUAGUUCGCAGACUUUUCGUUGUGACUCGACCCGAUCUAAUCUCCGCUGCAGAAAUGCUUGUUCU